GCCGAUCCUCAGCGCUCUGGCCCGGCGGCGGCGCGAAGUCCUGCUGGCUGGCUCCGCCCGCUUCGGCGCCUCCAAAUAACGGCAUCUUUCCGCGCGCGGUCUUAGGCCCCUUCCUUUUUCCCCCAAACCUGCCCGGAAACCCCAUCCCAGCCUGCAAAAGUCCGCAUAACGCCGACUGUUCCCAAACUUCUCCUUGGAACCCCAGACCCCCAAAGUUGUUCUCCAGUUGCCCCGGGGCGCCUCCUCCGCCCGGACAGUCCACGCCUAGCGCCCGUGGUCCGCCAGCGGGGCCCGCGGGCUGGUGGCAGGAUCCUGCGGGACCCAGGGACGCCUGUGUCUGCGACCGAGAGCGCACGGCGUGGCCGGAGGCUGUUCUCCCAGAGACUCGGGGGCCUGCGGACCCUCCUAGACCAGGCGAAGCCCCAUCUGAGGCGCUGGCUCAGGCCCGAAGGAGUUGGAGUUGGAGGGAUGAAAAUCUGGGUCCGCCCUCCAGGGAAAGCGGGAAAUGUGCCGGGGAGGCGGGGGUAGCGGAGGAGAAGGUAUUUUCGAAAUAAUGACCAGGGCUUCCCCCUCUGUCGUAACCCGCGUCUCCUUGCCCAUCCCGUAUGAAGAUGAGGCCAAUUCUGGGCGUUUUAGUUCCCAAUUCCUAUCCCGAGGGACCACCCAGCGUGAAAGUCGUGGCAGGGGAAGGCCAGGUGUGCCCACUCCUAGCCCAGGUAAAGGUCCCCCGGGCUGGAGGUAGAGGCCCAGGGAGUGUAGAUGCUGCUGGGUUUCUGAGAAGAGGCAAUGCCCCUGCCCCACGCUUGAGCCAGUCCUGGAGAGGUUGGGGGUUGGAAAACGAAGGGGACCUUGGUACCGCCUUCCCAGGUAUAGUUAGGGACAUGGGACAUGGCUGUUAGGGGUGUGGGCUGAGGGGCGACGGAGACGGCCAAGUCUUAAGAGCCGUGCCCAGCACGGAGGAGGCGGGACUUCUGCCCUCGGGGCCACCGCAGCCUGGACAGGUGGGCAGCAGAGCAUCCAUCCCCCCGGCGCCUGGCCCGGCCGCCCAGUUGGACUCGGGGAUGUUGGCUUGCUAUGGCGCCCCCGUGUGGCGGCGGUGACAGGCAGCCGCAGGCCCACAGGGUAACUCAGGCUGGCCCUGCUGGGGUGAGGUGUGGAACGGAGCCACCAGGUCCCCUGUGGGCUGUGAAAGCUCCGGGGCUUGAGGGCAAUUUGGAGGGAGGAUGAGGCUGCAAGAAGGAGGGUGUGGAUUCCUGCGCACUGGAAGGUGGGUUGGGGUGGUUAGCUAGAAAAGAAAUGUGACGGCAUCACAUUUAGUAUCCAGUUUGUGGAACGGCUCCCUGAGAUUACACAGUGCAUCGCACUGUCUGAAGAGGACUUUCUCUUGCCUUGUCUCUCCAGACCCCUGGAACAAUGGUACUGUUAGCAACAGCAAAUCCAUAUGGGUCUGCAGCAGCCUCAGUUCUUGCCUCCUCAGAAGAAAGAAUUCGACUGAGGGGCGUAAGGCAGAGUGAGAGGCAAGUUUUAGAGCAGGAGUGAAAAUGUAUUUAAAAGUUUUAGAGGCCGGGCGCAGUGGCUCAC
rnacentral:lncRNA from 1 species